AUUGAACGCUGGCGGCAGGCUUAACACAUGCAAGUCGAGCGGAGAUGAGGUGCUUGCACCUUAUCUUAGCGGCGGACGGGUGAGUAAUGCUUAGGAAUCUGCCUAUUAGUGGGGGACAACAUUCCGAAAGGAAUGCUAAUACCGCAUACGUCCUCCGGGAGAAAGCAGGGGAUCUUCGGACCUUGCGCUAAUAGAUGAGCCUAAGUCGGAUUAGCUAGUUGGUGGGGUAAAGGCCUACCAAGGCGACGAUCUGUAGCGGGUCUGAGAGGAUGAUCCGCCACACUGGGACUGAGGCACGGCCCAGACUCCUACGGGAGGCAGCAGUGGGGAAUAUUGGACAAUGGGCGGAAGCCUGAUCCAGCCAUGCCGCGUGUGUGAAGAAGGCCUUUUGGUUGUAAAGCACUUUAAGCGAGGAGGAGGCUACCUAGAUUAAUACUCUGGGAUAGUGGACGUUACUCGCAGAAUAAGCACCGGCUAACUCUGUGCCAGCCGCCGCUGUAAAAC
rnacentral:rRNA from 1 species